GAUGAACGCUGGCGGCGUGCCUAAUACAUGCAAGUCGAGCGAACGGACGAGAAGCUUGCUUCUCUGAUGUUAGCGGCGGACGGGUGAGUAACACGUGGAUAACCUACCUAUAAGACUGGGAUAACUUCGGGAAACCGGAGCUAAUACCGGAUAAUAUUUUGAACCGCAUGGUUCAAAAGUGAAAGACGGUCUUGCUGUCACUUAUAGAUGGAUCCGCGGUGCAUUAGCUAGUUGGUAAGGUAACGGCUUACCAAGGCAACGAUGCAUAGCCGACCUGAGAGGGUGAUCGGCCACACUGGAACUGAGACACGGUCCAGACUCCUACGGGAGGCCGCAGUAGGGAAUUUUCCGCAAUGGGCGAAAGCCUGACGGAGCAACGCCGCGUGAGUGAUGAAGGUCUUCGGAUCGUAAAACUCUGUUAUUAGGGAAGAACAUAUGUGUAAGUAACUGUGCACAUAUUGACGGUACCUAAUCAGAAAGCCACGGCUAACUACGUG
rnacentral:rRNA from 1 species